rnacentral:SRP_RNA from 1 species
GCUGGGCAUAGUGGCGUGUGCCUGUAGUCCCAGCUAUUCGGGAGGCUGAGGCAGGAGAAUCGCUUGAACCUGGGAGGUGGAGGUUGCAGUGAGCCGAGAUCACGCCACUGCACUCCAGCCUGGGCAACAGAGCGAGACUCUGUCUCAA